CCACGCGUAGCUCAGAGGUAGAGCCCAUGACCGAUAAUCGUGAGGCGCAGGUUCGACUCCUGCCGCGUGGA
rnacentral:tRNA from 1 species